ACAAGAGCUGCGAAGCCACGCCCCUUCCUGCUGACACACUGCAGCCAGCUGCAGCACGCUGAGGACAGGCGCUGUUGUAAAGUUAUUUGCUUGUUGUUCUACAAACACAAAGCCAAAAAGAAAAACAGUUGAGGUAGGCUGGGUUACUUUCUACAUGAAGCUGUUGAUUCACCCCAAGAGCUCAACGUGCUCGAGAUCCAAAUUGAUCCAAACUACAUGUGAAAGGGAUGUCAAAGAAAUCUGGAAGUUCGACGUGUUCGAGAUCCAAAGAGGCUACUACACCUGAAAGGGAUGUCAAAGAAAUCUGGAAGAUAUAAAGUGAGAUAGACAACUUUCGGUGAUGCUACAAGGUGACUGUUCCAUGGAAAAUCUGACUGAAGGGAUAGAAAUGCUUGGAGAAGGCCGCCCCCUGCCGCCACUGAGGACAACUACACUAAUACAGACAAGAGCGCCUCAACAGUUACACACUCAAGAGUUGGGGUUUUGCCGUAUGCAACUAGCUACCAUCUCCAACGCUUGUGCAAAACAGAAAAGAAGUCAGGAGCCGGACACGAGGGGUGAACGGUGUGCCGAGAGCCGGAGAGACCUGGGACGAUGGAAAGAGGAAGGAGGAUCGGAUCACCUCGCCCACAGAGCCUCCCACGCCCGACACACUGAGCAGGGGGACUGAAGUAUGCCAAUAUGGCCAGCUUUCAAGCAAUCGCCCCUUGAAGCUCUCCCUGUGGCGAAGCUGAGGGAUCCCCCGCAUUGCACUGUGGGAAACGCCGACCUCAGCCUCGAACCACCCUUCCCGAUAUCUUCAGGUAAACUAGUCUAUGCAGCAGAGUGGAUGAGGAAAAAACAAAAAUAUUUCUCGAGGGGUGGGGGGAGAAGAGGAAGCAGAAAAAAGGUUCAAGGAAGAAGUCUUCAUCUUUGAAAGGCGGAGGGAGGAAG